rnacentral:rRNA from 1 species
UACGUAGGGUGCAAGCGUUAAUCGGAAUUACUGGGCGUAAAGCGUGCGCAGGCGGUUUUGUAAGUCUGUCGUGAAAGCCCCGGGCUCAACCUGGGAAUUGCGAUGGAGACUGCAAGGCUUGAAUCUGGCAGAGGGGGGUAGAAUUCCACGUGUAGCAGUGAAAUGCGUAGAGAUGUGGAGGAACACCAGUAGCGGAGCGACGUCACCCUGGGCGUAAUUGACGCUGAGACGACGAAGCGUGGGGAGCAAACAGG